AGGACGAACGUUGGCGGCGUGCUUAACACAUGCAAGUCGAGCGGUAAGGCCCUUCGGGGUACACGAGCGGCGAACGGGUGAGUAACACGUGGGUGACCUGCCCCCUACUCUGGGAUAAACCUGGGAAACUGGGUCUAAUACCGGAUAUGACUACAUGUCGCAUGGUGUGUGGUGGAAAGCCAGUUACUUUGUUUCUGGUGGUGGGGGAUGGGCCCGCGGCCUAUCAGCUUGUUGGUGGGGUGAUGGCCUACCAAGGCGACGACGGGUAG
rnacentral:rRNA from 1 species